CAGAGCUGGUUAGAAGGUGUGUAAUAUCCAAGCUUUCCAUCAGGUGGUUCCCCACUUCUUGAUGCCACGGUCCAAAAAUCAGGCAAGUCCACUCCAUAUGCUUAUUCAAAGUGGAAGUAACUAUAUAGAGUGUAGGCUCAGGGGUCCACAAUGCUUACAUGGAUGCAUGAUCAAAGCUGCUCAUCAGGUGGAGCAUUGGUAAUAGAGGGGGGCUUUGCCCCUUCAU